rnacentral:rRNA from 1 species
UAUGGUUGACCUGGGGUAAGGAUGUAGGGCGAGAUGUAGGCAAAUCCGCAUCUCACGUGCCUGAGAUCUGACGCCGAGCCGAUUCAGGUGAAGUGGGUAAUCCUAUGCUGCCAAGAAAAGCCUCUAGCGAGUGUUAAAGCCGCCCGUACCCCAAACCGACACAGGUGGUCAGGUAGAGAAUACUAAGGCGAUCGAGAUAACUAUGGUUAAGGAACUCGGCAAAAUGCCCCCGUAACUUCGGGAGAAGGGGGGCCCGUUCUGGUGAGGAGAUUUACUCUCCGAGCUGGGAUUGGCCGCAGAGACCAGGCCCAAGCGACUGUUUACUAAAAACACAGGUCCAUGCUAAGUCGCAAGACGCUGUAUAUGGACUGACGCCUGCCCGGUGCUGGAACGUUAAGGGGACGGGUUAGCGACUUCGGUCGCGAAGCUCAGAACUUAAGCGCCAGUAAACGGCGGUGGUAACUAUAACCAUCCUAAGGUAGCGAAAUUCCUUGUCGGGUAAGUUCCGACCUGCACGAAUGGCGUAACGACUUGGGCGCCGUCUCAACCGUAGACUCGGCGAAAUUGCACUACGAGUAAAGAUGCUCGUUACGCGCGGCAGGACGGAAAGACCCCGGGACCUUUACUACAGCUUGGUAUUGGUGGUCGAUUCGAUUUGUGUAGGAUAGGUGGGAGACUGUGAACUUCGGACGCCAGUUCGAAGGGAGUCAUCGUUGAAAUACCACUCUGAUCGUAUUGGCUGUCUAACCUAGAUCCGUAAUCCGGAUCAGGGACAGUGCCUGGUGGGUAGUUUAACUGGGGCGGUUGCCUCCUAAAAUGUAACGGAGGCGCUCAAAGGUUCCCUCAGCCUGGUUGGCAAUCAGGUAUCGAGUGUAAGUGCACAAGGGAGCUUGACUGUGAGACUGACGGGUCGAGCAGGGACGAAAGUCGGAACUAGUGAUCCGACGCUGGCAAGUGGAAGCGGCGUCGCUCAACGGAUAAAAGGUACCCCGGGGAUAACAGGCUGAUCUUGCCCAAGAGUCCAUAUCGACGGCAUGGUUUGGCACCUCGAUGUCGGCUCGUCGCAUCCUGGGGCUGGAGUAGGUCCCAAGGGUUGGGCUGUUCGCCCAUUAAAGCGGCACGCGAGCUGGGUUUAGAACGUCGUGAGACAGUUCGGUCCCUAUCCGCCGCGCGCGUAAGAGUCUUGAGAAGAUCUGUCCCUAGUACGAGAGGACCGGGAUGGACGAACCUCUGGUGUGUCAGUUGUCCUGCCAAGGGCACUGCUGAUUAGCUACGUUCGGAAGAGAUAACCGCUGAAAGCAUCUAAGCGGGAAACUCGCUUCAAGAUGAGGGCUCUCACAGGGUUAACCUGGUAAGGCCCCCAGUAGACCACUGGGUUGAUAGGCCGGAAGUGGAAGUGCGGUAACGCAUGCAGCUGACCGGUACUAAUAGGCCGAGGACUUGACCU